rnacentral:rRNA from 1 species
UACAGAGGUCUCAAGCGUUGUUCGGAUUCAUUGGGCGUAAAGGGUGCGUAGGCGGCGCGGUAAGUCGGGUGUGAAAUCUUGGAGCUUAACUCCGAAACUGCAUUCGAUACUGCCGUGCUUGAGGACUGGAGAGGAGACUGGAAUUUACGGUGUAGCGGUGAAAUGCGUAGAUAUCGUAAGGAAGACCAGGUGGCGAAGGCGGGUCUCCUGGACAGUUCCUGACGCUGAGG